UACGGAGGGAGCUAGCGUUGUUCGGAAUUACUGGGCGUAAAGCGCACGUAGGCGGCUAUUCAAGUCAGAGGUGAAAGCCUGGAGCUCAACUCCAGAACUGCCUUUGAAACUAGAUAGCUUGAAUCCAGGAGAGGUGAGUGGAAUUCCGAGUGUAGAGGUGAAAUUCGUAGAUAUUAGGAAGAACACCAGUGGCGAAGGCGGCUCACUGGUCCGGUACUGACGCUGAGGUGCGAAAGCGUGGGGAGCAAACAGG
rnacentral:rRNA from 1 species